AGAGACAGGCUCUUCUAUCCAUUGAUUCACUCCCCAAAUGACUGAGAGCCUGAGACAGCUGGGGCUGGGUCAGGCUGAAGUCAGGAGCUGAGAACUCAGUCAAGGUGUCUGUGUGGGUGGCAGGGACUCAAAUAUAUGAGCCAUCACCUGCUGCCUCCCAGAGUGUGCAUCAGGGCAAGUUAGAAUAAGGAGUGAAACUGGAACUGAAACCCAGGCACUUUGAUAUGGGAUACAGAUAUCUCUAACUGCUAUGCCAAAUGCCUAUCCCUUUCUCUUUUAUUCUUCAUGCCACAUGCAUAUUAAUCCUAUGUUAAAUUAUUUUGGAGAAUUACUGGUCAUUUCACAUUAUUUUCAGGUAAAAGAGCUAUAUGAGUAAUUCAGGUAGAAGCAGAUUUAUUAUUAUUUUAUUAUUAUUAUUUAUUUGACAGGCAGAGUUAGUGAGAGAGAGAGACAGAGAAAAAAGUUUUCCUUUUCCGUUGGUUCACCCCCCUAAUGGCCGCUAAGACUGGCACGCUUUGCUGAUCCGAAGCCAGGAGCCAGGUGCUUCUCCUGGUCUCCCAUGCGGGUGCAGGGCCCAAGCACUUGGGCCAUCCUCCACUGCACUCUGGGCCACAGCAGAGAGCUGGACUGGAAGAGGAGCAGCCGGGACUAGUACCCGGCACCCAUAUGGGAUGCCGGCGCCACAGGUGGAGGAUUAACCAAGUGAGCCAUGGCACCAGCCCCUAUUAUUAUUAUUUUUAAAACCACAUUGUGAAUCUUUAGAAUUUAUUUAAGCUGAACAAAGUACUUAUUAUAAGAUCAUUGUUUACUGAACUGGAGGAGCUACAUUGACAUUUAUAUAUUUUGGAUGUGUUUUUAUGUUUUUAGUUGUAUAGGAAGGACACUAUUGAAAGUAAACUAUACACCUAUACUCUUUAGUUGUCACGUAUAGCUGAUUGCUCAUCUCCAGUUUCUAUGACUUGUUCCAAAGGCAUCUCUAAUGGUGUUAGAAAUAGGAGAACAGAGUCCAACCACUGACCUUACUGUAAGUGGUCAAGCUAGUUUACCCAGUACAGUUUGAGUGACACAGUUUUAUAACAUUUGAGGAAUAUAAGUAAACAGUAAAUGUAAUAAUGGCUGACAUUUCUGUAGAAACUUGAUGUUUACACAUAUUUUCACAAUGUAUUAUUUAAUUUUUAGAACAGUCUAAGAUAAGAUCUUGAAACUAGAGCCUAAUUUUAGUUUCCAUGCAUUAUACAAUGCUGGAAUUAGUAGAAAAGAAGGCUUUAAAUAUAUAAAGAUUUUGUGACACAAAACAGAUCCCUAAUAUAGGAAACAGAUCUUAAUAUGGGAAAAGAAAACACAAACAAAUGGACAAAGAGAAGGAGAGGUACAAAAAGUGUAUAUGAGGACAAAAUGCCUCACACUGAAGACUAGGUAUCAGAAGGAAGUCUUAAUGUUUCUGUCCUAGUUUAAGUCUCCUCUUCGGGUUGAUUCAUAAAUGUUUAGUUUUGACAGGUAGAAGCUGAAUAAUUGAAAUCCCCUAAUCAUGUGCAGAGAUUCUUAUGUUGUGACUCUUCACUCUUCAAGGUUAACAGUGAUGAUGAAAUGAAUGUUCACUGACACCAUGGGUCAUGUACAUGCCACAUUAAAGGAAAUAGCUCAUAAUUUUCACAACAACCAGAUGAAACAAGCUCACUUCUCUCCAUUUUUAAACAAGGGGGAAAGAAGAGAUGAGAGGUUAAAUGACAGCUAGUGAGUGGAUGAACAAUGACUGGAUAUUGGAUUACCUGACACCAAAGUUUACAUAUUUAAUAAUCAUGCUCUGCUACAGGGAAGAUAUUAAGAAGACCCUGGAAGCAUCUUCUGAACAAAAAAUAUUUUGAGUUAGAACUAUAUUCUAACUGUAUUCUAACCAGGUAAACUAUUCUGAUAUGUUUUUUUUUUUUAAUUUUUUGACAGGCAGAGUUAGACAAUGAGAGAGAGAGAGAGACAGAGAGAGAGAGAGUUAAAGACAGUGAGAGAGAGAGAGAGAGAGAAAAGUCUUCCUUUUUCCCUUGGUUUACCCCCAAAGUGGCCACUACAGCUGGUGUGCUGCGCUGAUCCGAAGUCAGGAGCCAGGUGCUUCCUCCUGGUCUCCCAUGCAGGUACAGGGCCCAAGCACUUGGGCCAUCCUCCACUGCCUUCCCGGGCCACAGCAGAGAGCUGGACUGGAAGAGGAGCAACCGGGACAGAAUCUGGUGCCUCAACUGGGACUAGAAUCUGGGGUGCUGGUGCUGCAGGCAGAGGAUUAGCCAAGUGAGCCACGGCGCCGGCCCUAAUAUAGUUCUAAUAUAGAACUAUAUUCUAACCAGGUAAACUGCUCCCAUUUCCCAUUUCCCAUAAGUCACCAGUUAUCCAUGCUGGAGGCCUUUCUCAAGCAGCCUGGGAAACCUCCCAUUAGACAGGCCAUUGGGCAAAGUUCACACCACUGAAUUAUUGAGAAAAUGCCUACUGCCUUCCUGAGACAGCCAAUAUGGCCAGCAUAAGAAUUAGGUUCAGCUGACUCAGCAGCAGUGUUCAUCCUGGCUGCUGAUUAGGCUUACUUUAUGGGUGAGAAACCUAAGGCUUCAUCAGAGAAGUUAUAUAUAUUUGCCUCAUCUGAAAAAAAUAUUUAUUUGUUCAUUAUCUAUUUAUUUGAAAAGCAGAGUGAAAGAGAGAAAUAGAAAAAUGAAAAGAUCUUCCAUCUGCUGCUUCACUCUCUAAAUGCCAGCAUUGGGCGAGGCUGAAACCAGGAGCCUGGAACUCCAUCUGGGUCUCCAAUGAGGGUGGCAGAAGCCUGAGCACUUUAGCCAUUAUCUGUAGCCUCCCAGGAUGCACUAGCAGGAAGCUGGGUUGGAAGCCAAACAGCCUAUACUUGAAUAGAUACUCCAACUUGGAAUAAAUAAAUCCCAAGUGGUGGCUUAGCACUCUGUGCCACAAAGCCUGCUUUAGAUUUACCUACUUUGAUUAAAUGUUUAUCCAUGGUGGAGACAAGAGAACAGUUUCCUGGACUUGAAGAGAUAUCCAUUGAACACAAAUGGCAAUAAGAUAAAGAUUUUAAGACUUUUCUUGGAAACCUGUUCUGGAAAUUCAAUAAAUACUAGGACAUCAUUCUAUAUAUUUUCUUUCAAGAAUAAAAUGAUUUCUAUAUUUAGUUCAGUUCUAAAAGUACUGAGUUCAGAUUGAAAAUGGAUAUUUCCUGUUAAAAAUUGUUAUUAUUUUCUUCUCAGAAUGAUGGCUUCCUUUUUUUGCCUUUUGAGAAAAUGUGUGUUCUGUCAGCAGCGAUGAGCACAGAUCUGGGUGCUGAUCAAGACCCUAAACUGAGACCUGAGAAAAUGCAGAGCUGAGGCAAGAAGUUCCAGGAAGUACUCUAAAGCCUGUCACGCUUCUGUGGUAUUUCAAAAAAAGGUGAACUUGAGAGUGACUUCUGUUAACAAUUAUCUGUUCCUAAAUGAUAUGGAGUACGUAAGGUGUAUGAAGACACACUCAUUACUUUUUGAAGCUGCCUUACUCCAUGAGAUUCCACAGUCCAACUUCAUGUAACAACCUUGUGAGCAUAAGAAGAUGAACCAUUAAGAAAUUCCAAUGGUAACUAAUAGAGUACAAAAAAUGUAAUGUAUAGGAGUGAAGCUAACAUUUUGAGAUUCAAAUGAUUGUUUACAGCCCUUGUAUUUACUGUUGAGGAACACUAUUUUUUCUUCUAUUUGUUGAACUCUUUAGUUACUGUAGGAUUAAUCUUAUGAGUAUAAAGUAAACUAAAAGUAAAUCAUUGUAAAAAUUAAGAGAGGGAAUAGGAGAGGGAGGAGAAAGAAGGGUAGAAGUGUGGGCAGGAAAGAAGGAAGUAUCAUGUGUUCCUAAAUAUGUAUAUGUGAAAUAGAUGAAAUUUGUUUACCUUAAAUAAAAUUAAAAAAUAAAAAAGAAAUUCCCUGGCUUUUCUAUAUUAGAUUAGAGAUCAUCAAUUUUGUCAAUUUUUCUCAUGUUGUAGAUUUUUCAGCCAUGUCAGUUUUCCUGUUACACACCUAUCAGUGGACUCUUGUAAAAACAAAAGUGACCAGGGAGCAGAUAAGGUUGGUCAGUCCCAGAGUGCAGAUGACUGUCACUUUCUGUUCUGAGCAAAAUAUACUAUAAAUGUAAAGUAUUUUCGUAUUCUUUAUCUUAUAAAGUUUACUACCCAAUUCACUGAAAAAUUUGUAUUUAUUUUGUCAAACUUAUUGUUAGGGUGGUUCUCCCUUUACUAGUCUUUCAGAGGAUUUUUAGAACUUAAGAGCUAGAUAUUCUACAAAUGGCUUUCAACCUUCCUCUUUUAAAUUUUGGGUCAUGUUUCCAGCUUAUUGAGAUAUGUUUAAUUCCUUUUGAAAAUUGGCUCUUCCACCAAAUAUUCUCCAUUAAUCCUCAUUUAAAAUGUUGUUCUCAAGAUAAAGGAUAAUCUAUUUAUGACAGAAAUUGUGUAAAGAACAGAUGAGCUAAAAGAAGAAAUAAAGAUGGUUCAUAACUCAUUACCAAAGAGAUAAAUAUCAUUGCCAGAGAUAUCUAUGAUUAGCAUUUUAGUGUAUCUCUACCUAGUCUCCUUCUCUAUGCACAUAUGCAUGUCCCUACAUGCGCACAUA